ensembl:lncRNA
CCAAAAGCAGAAGCAGUGCUCACCACACGGAGCAAUGCAUUGGGUGGAGAGCAUCCUAGCCAAAGGUGCCACAAAAUAAGAUUUACAAUGUGAUGGUUUAGCACUGUAAGAAGAGCUGAACUUAUCUGGUCCCCGGAUUUCCCAAGAGCUGCACGGGAGGUUCCUGUGCCAGGGGCUGCUGGGCUAGGCUGGAGCAGCGUCCUGCAGCAGAACCUCAGCAUCACACUCCACUUUGUUUUCUCUCUGUGGUAGCAGGUAUGACAUCCAUCUUUGGUGUCUGGAGCACAUUGCAAUCAGCUGCCUUGUGUUUUGGACCCGUCCGCUGAUAACAUGGUGGCCAAGGGGACAGCCAAGGUGCUCUCUUCCCAAUGUAUCCUCCAGUUUGUGCACACCAGGCUCCACCUCCAUCCACUCUGGAGAAUAGUCCCCUUGCUUAUCCCUCUCUGAAGACAGAGUCGAUCUGCCUGAUUCAUCCCUAUCUGGGCCCGCAAUCUCUAGCAAAAUAGCUCUGGGCCAUCUCCUCUGCAGCUGUGACACAAUUAUUGUUACCGGAGAUUGAAGCAAAACCUCCCUUUGCUCUCUGAGCACUGUAACCCUUUUUCAGCACUGCACCCUGUUCUGCAGCAGGAGGCCUGGAACAGCCCUCACCUUUUCCAAAUUUCUACCCCGGGGCUGAGGAUGUGAGGUCCCUCUCUUGGAUCUGCUUUGCCCUUUCUUAGAGGACUUCAUAUCCCAGUGCCUCUUCUCUUCUUGCUUCUUAAAGCAGUGGCCCAUGCUCGCCAAUGCAGAAUGUUAUGAUUUUUAAAGAUAUCCCAUUGCUGGAGUCCUGAGGCUCCUCCAGGCUUUGUGCUGAGUCUGUCCCGGAGACCUGCUGGUGCCCACGGAGGUGGGAGAAAUGGCUGAGCCUGCCUUCAGUUGAGCCUCCAUCAUCCCACAGAAACCGUAUCUUCCUCGAUCCCUUUGCCAAGAAUAAAGAGAACUGAUGACAUCUGCAGCUUUGCCAACACCUUCCUCAGCCCUCCGGGUCUCCGAGCAUCCAGGACAGCUAUUUUGCCAGGCUUUUGUGCAACCCUGUAAUGAAUCAAUGGGAUUGUGGAAGGAGGCAAAGCAGCAGGAACAGAAGGCAGCUGGUAUAUACAGCAGAGAAGAUUCAGAGGGAUCCCAUUUGGGUCCUAUGCAGUGAUGAGGUCCUGGAGACAAGGCUGGAGACAAUGCCAUGUUGUAUACUUGGUGGACCAUAAUGGGAAUUUCGAGAAGUGACCCCACCGAGCAAGCCAAGGCAGGGCCAACUGCUGAAACUGCAUUUUGGAGAUGAAUAGAGUCUCAUGUGUUGCAAAAGUUGAUGGAAGACUUCCUGCAAAGAGAGGACAACCCAGGAGCAGCCCCAUCUGUUGCCAAAUGGCCACACACGGAGUGUGACCUUGUCCCAUAAGAUAACAAGAUUUAUUCUGCGCUUUUUGAUAGGACAUCGAUUAAGGCUUCCAUGCUUGUGAGGGCGCCGGGGGUUCAAAGCGCCGAAAGGACAGCAUGGAACAAUGCAAGAUGAGGCUCCCUUGGCUUUGCCCAGAGAUUUAUGAAUGCUGUUUGUCAUAGAGCAGGAUUGAUACGAAUAUCCAACUGCUUGUGACCAGAAAGGCAGGCUCCAUCCAACCCGCUGCACAGCGAUGAACUCCAAACAAGCCUUGAGACCCCUGGCACAUCGGGAACCCAAACAGAGCGCGCUGCCAGCGCUGGGCCCUGCUCAGCUGGCUGCUGUCCCAGCACCAUGCCUCGUGCUGCUGGAGCGAUGAGUUCAUUGCACAACCGAGCUGGGGAUCCCACCGAGCCGGGAGGGUGUCUGUCUGUCUGUCUGCCUGUCUGUUGCCCUGACAGAUGGCCAGGGCCAGUUUUGAUACUCGUUCAAGAAAAAUAGCUGUUUUCAGUGGAUGCAGCCACACAUUCCUCAUGCUUUUGGGGUGAGAUCUUCAGCCAGGGCAACCCAACAGGACAUCACCGACGGUGCAGCGUAGUGCUGGCAGCACUCCCUGGGAAAUAAAGCACAGCCGCAGGUGUGACA